rnacentral:rRNA from 1 species
GCAAAACGCGAAGAACCUUACCAGGCCUUGACAUGCAGAGAACUUUUCAGAGAUGGAUUGGGUGCCUUCGGGAACUCUGACACAGGUGCUGCAUGGCUGUCGUCAGCUCGUGUCGUGAGAUGUUGGGUUAAGUCCCGUAACGAGCGCAACCCUUGCCUUAGUUACCAGCACGUUAUGGUGGGCACUCUAAGGAGACUGCCGGUGACAAACCGGAGGAAGUGGGAUGACGUCAAGUCAUCAUGGCCCUUACGGCCUGGGCUACACACGUGCUACAAUGGUCGGUACAGAGGGUUGCCAAGCCGCGAGGUAGGAGCUAAUCUCACAAAACCGACCGUAGUCCGGAUCGCAGUCUGCAACUCGACUGCGUGAAGUCGGAAUCGCUAGUAAUCGCGAAUCAGAAUGUCGCGGUGAAUACGUUCCCGGGUCUUGUACU